rnacentral:rRNA from 1 species
AAUCAACGCUGGCGGCGUGCCUCAGACAUGCAAGUCGAACGCGAAAGUCCCCUUCGGGGGAUGAUUAGAGUGGCGCACGGGUGAGUAACACGUAGGUAAUCUACCUUCGAGUGGGGAUUAACUCAGGGAAACUUGAGCUAAUACCGCAUAAUGCAGCGGCACCACAUGGUGACAGUUGUUAAAGCAUUUAUGCGCUUGAAGAGGAGCCUGCGGCGGAUAGCUAGUUGGUAAGGUAAUGGCUUACCAAGGCUACGAUCUGUAACCGGCCUGAGAGGGCGGACGGUCACACUGACGCUGAAUAACGGGUCAGACUCCUACGGGAGGCAGCAGUCGGGAAUUUUGGGCAAUGGGCGAAAGCCUGACCCA